rnacentral:rRNA from 1 species
GUGCCAGCAGCCGCGGUAAUACCGGCAGCCCGAGUGAUGGCCGAUCUUAUUGGGCCUAAAGCGUCCGUAGCUGGCCGCGCAAGUCCAUCGGAAAAUCCACCCGCCCAACGGGUGGGCGUCCGGCGGAAACUGUGUGGCUUGGAACCGGAAGGCGCGACGGGUACGUCCAGGGUAGGAGUGAAAUCCCGUAAUCCUGGACGGACCGCCGAUGGCGAAAGCACGUCGCGAGAACGGAUCCGACAGUGAGGGACGAAAGCUAGGGUCUCGAGCCGGAUUAGAUACCCUGGUAGUCC